rnacentral:rRNA from 1 species
UACGAAGGUCCCAAGCGUUAUCCGGAUUUAUUGGGUUUAAAGGGUGCGUAGGCGGAUUAUUAAGUCAGUGGUGAAAGCUCCCAGCUUAACUGGGAAACUGCCAUUGAUACUGAUGAUCUUGAGUAUGAUUGAAGUGGGCGGAAUGUGUCAUGUAGCGGUGAAAUGCUUAGAUAUGACACAGAACACCGAUUGCGAAGGCAGCUAGCUAAACGAUUAUUGACGCUGAGGCACGAAAGCGUGGGGAUCAAACAGG